AGGACGUCGGGAAUGUUUUUAAACAAUAUUGACACCGUGUGCCUGCCACACUAACACAUAUUGUGCGGAACGAAAAGUAGAAGAAUUAGGACCAGACCAGAGGUGGAUAUGUGGCUUUGUGAGCUGCCUUCUGUUGGGAACGACCACAUCUUGCUGGGCCCCUGAAACUGAGGGGCCACGACCAACAAACAGAGUGGGAUGGACCUGCGAGCAGAGAGCCCUGACAAAGACUCUGAAGAUGAUGCCUUCAAGUGUGGACCUGAGGGAGGAGAGGAGGGCGAGGGCUGGGGGAGCGAUAGUCAACCUGAGGCCUGCACCCCUACUCCUCCAUCCACUGGCAAGAGGAAGAAGAAAAGGAA